GAAUUUUUAACAGAAAAUUGUCGCAUAUUUCUGUGGGGGUAAUUUUGUUGUCUUAUGUUUCAGGGUAUCCUUAAAGAAGGGUUAAACUGCGUUUCACGAACUGGCUAAUUAAGGGAGUGCAAUGGCGAUAUUUAAAAUGGAAAUCCUUCUAAACCUUUCAUUUUAUAACUCAGUUAUAAUGAAGAGUGGAUCGCUAUCAAAUAGUAAGAAAACAACACAAAAUGAAUCCAAGAUCACAUAGAAUAUCAUUCAGAAGAAAUGCAAAACAGAUAACUCAUCGGUUUCGGUUCUUUUGUUAUGGAAGUGAAUAAUAUACCGAAUUAAAAUGGCUGAUUCGAAAACAUCCAAUAAAGACGUGAGUGGGCAACUCGAAAUCUACCACCGAUGAAGAAGAUACUUCCAGUUCCUAACAGAAAAAUUUAUUUAUUUUUCUAAAGUGUUGAUUACUGCACACCGCAAUUUUAUAUGAACAGUCGUCGAGAUAUUAAGGAAAGAAUAUGUUCUUUCACAUCACACCACACCACAUUACAAUACACCAUACCACAUGAGAUCACAUCACAUCAUAUUCACAUAAAAUUCACAUCAUAUUAAACACAUGAACUUCAUAAUUGUCUUAUAAAGGUUAAUACCUGCUGUACCAAAAACAUUGGUGCUGAUAAGUUUGACAAUUUCGUCGACAUUGUGUUUUCUUUAAAUAGAGAAUAUAUACAUCUACAAUUCUACAUUGUUGUCUCACAGUAUGUAAUAUUGUUGUGGUUUCCAACAGUUGUUCAGAGUUUUGUUACAGUUUUUGGAUCAAAGAUAAAUUUGUUGAUAACUGAAAUUGCCUUCUCUUAUAUUAACGAGUGAUUAUCUAAUGGAGAAAUGUAUUUUCCAAAUUUUUCUGUGUUAGACUCAUUUACAUCAACAAUCAUUUUCUCUCAUCCAGUUGUUUUGGAAUGGAUAAUAGAAAUGAGUUUGUGCUUUAGUAGUUUCAUGACAGUCUUGUUACAAGACCGAUUGUUUUGAAAAAAUUUGGAGUGAUGUGACUUUCCCACGUUUCCCAACGCUGAUUAUUGUUGUGUAUUACAUUAACAGAUAAUGUUUAGCCAAUUACGAGUCAUUCUCCGUCCUCGUAUAAAAGACUACGUGGAAAAAGGAAGGGCCGUCACAAUCACAGUCACUCUUUUGAAAACCUUCCUUUGAUUCAGCACAAAGUUCAUAAAAUUUUCAAUACGGUUGUUGAUAAUUACGUGGGUCCUUACCCCGUAUUUUCCACAGAAUUCCACAUCUGUAUCUAAACUACUGGAACAGCACGUGUUUCCAAAUUGUAAAAGAUGAAUAAUAAAUCGGUAAGGUUGGCCUCCUUUGUGGUUGGCUGAAUAUAACACUGCUGAUUAAUCGAAUGGUGUAUUUUACAGAUUUUACAAAAAAAUUCACCACACUCAUGCUUUCUUCUUAAUACGUAGAUGAUUUUCCAUAC